CUUAAAAUUGUAUCAGAAAUCACUUACACGAAAAUCACGUCGCAAACCAUCGCCAUUGAUCCGCUACCUCCGAUGCUGCGGAAACGAAGCCUUACACGCCGGAACGACACGGCCUGGAUGCCGCCACCGAUGUAGCCGCUGUCGCCGCCACACGCCUCGACCGCACGCCUGGACGGCAUGGCGAAUCUCUGCCUCCUUGGUCUGCAUGAGACCGUUGCUCGUUCUCCGCAGCAUCCGUGAGGUCCGUCUGUUCAGCCACAUCUCCAACAUCCUCUGCGCCAAGAUCAAGAACACAAAGGAUGGACAGGCUCUAACCUUCGCUAAGCAGCAGAUGUACCAACCGAUGGCACUCUUCAAGACAGUACUGCUACGUGGUAGUCAUUGCCCAGUGGGCAUUGGCAUGUGAAUUGCUAUUUAGUUGCACCAAGUCAGCCAAUUCUAAUAUGUUUUCUCUCUCCAAAAAUUGUAAUCAAUUAUACAUGCAGAUCCUCUUGCA